rnacentral:pre_miRNA from 1 species
AAUAAAUGCAGCCAUAUUUUUUCAUGUCUAAUUUUGACCGUUCGUCUUAUUUAAAUUUUUUUUAAAAAGUUUGAAAACAUAAAUCAUACAUAAAAUACUAUUCAUAUUUUAUCAUCUUAUAACAAUAAAAAUACUAAUUAUAAAAAUAUUUAAAUAAGACGGAUGAUCAAAGUUAGACUCGAAAACUCAUGGUUGCACUUAAA